rnacentral:rRNA from 1 species
UACGUAGGGUGCAAGCGUUGUCCGGAAUUACUGGGCGUAAAGGGCUCGUAGGUGGCCAACUAAGUCAGACGUGAAAUCCCUCGGCUUAACCGGGGAACUGCGUCUGAUACUGGAUGGCUUGAGUUUGGGAGAGGGACGCGGAAUUCCAGGUGUAGCGGUGAAAUGCGUAGAUAUCUGGAGGAACACCGGUGGCGAAGGCGGCGCCCUGGACCAACACUGACACUGAGGAGCGAAAGCCAGGGGAGCAAACGGG